GGCUACGUAGCUCAGUUGGUUAAGAGCACAUCACUCAUAAUGAUGGGGUCACAACGGGUUUCGGAGAAUCCCGUCGUAGCCA
rnacentral:tRNA from 1 species